rnacentral:rRNA from 1 species
AGAGCGAACGCUGGCGGCAGGCUUAACACAUGCAAGUCGAGCGGGCGUAGCAAUACGUCAGCGGCAGACGGGUGAGUAACGCGUGGGAACGUACCUUUUGGUUCGGAACAACACAGGGAAACUUGUGCUAAUACCGGAUACGCCCUACGGGGGAAAGAUUUAUCGGGAUUGGAUGAGCCCGCGUUGGAUUAGCUAGUUGGUGAGGUAACGGCUCACCAAGGCGACGAUCCAUAGCUGGUCUGAGAGGAUGAUCAGCCACACUGGGACUGAGACACGGCCCAGACUCCUACGGGAGGCAGCAGUGGGGAAUAUUGGACAAUGGGGCGCAAGCCUGAUCCAGCCAUGCCGCGUGAGUGAUGAAGGCCUUAGGGUUGUAAAGCUCUUUCACCGAUGACGAUAAUGACGGUAGUCGGAGAAGAGCCCGGCUAACUCGUGCCAGCAGCCGC